UAUAAAACGUUCAUUACUCCAGUUUUGAUAUUAGACCUCUAAGUUGCAUACAUAUAUGUUGUUCAUUAAGGAAGAUUUCCGAAGAAUUACUAUGUCAAUACUGAGUUUAACAGCACUGAUUGGUUUGUUUGUUGGUAUUACUUAUGGAUUGAGUGACAGAAUGAUUUAUGACACCUCUGCACAGGCCAAGUGUACAGAGAUCACAAGAGAUCCCACGAGGGACUGCAGAUGGUCUGCAGGGAUGAAUAUGCAGGUGGAUCAGGUCGCAGUUGGGAGAAGAUUGCUGCAUACAAAAUUCGAUGGUUUAGUGGUUCCUGGAGUGGCUGGUACGUGCCCGGGUACAACGACAUAGACUGGAAAAUCAACACUAACAACAAAAGAUGUUCAAUGCCGUGCAAAGCCAACAGUCUUAGACGGGUGUGGUCAUAUUUCGAGGACCACACACACAAAUUUAUAGUGUACAAGGCUUAGAAAUUCUGGACAAAAGAUCCAUUUAAACAUAAAUCAAAGAUCUAAUAUUUA